GAAAAUCUCUCGGUCCUUCCUUUUUCGUUCUCAGGGAGAGGCGGCAAAGAGAGAGAAAGGGGAGCAGCCGCCGCUUCUUCCACCGGCCCAUCCCCCGCCGGUCGCAGCCGCAUACCCUAGGCCUGGUUCUUGAGGGAGUACCUCCUGCGGCAAGCCACGGGAGCCAGCAUCGUCCGUGCCCCGCCGACGAGAUCUAGAAUCCCUUAGAUUUCUCCGUCCUUGGUUGGGUUGUGCCAAGGUUCCGGCGUGGCCUAGCUGCUAGUUAAGUUGUGGGCUGAUCUCACCAUGAAGCUACUGUCCCACUCCUUCACAAAAGGCAGUAAAUAGGUAAUCCUUACCUCUCUAAUUUUUUUCUGCAAUUUAAUUUAGUUGUCACUGCAAAAAAUUUAAAAAAUGAAAAAAAAUACAUUGGAGAGUUUUGUUGGUUGAUCUAAUGAUUUAAUCAAUGCAUGGUUUGUGAGACUGCCAUACUUAUAGGAAUGUGAGUAUUUUAGACGGUUGAGAAUUAAGGAUAUGGGAUGUACCACGACCCUAAGUUCGAGCACACUACCUGUGAAAGAAAUCUUUAUGAGUGAUGCACCACAAUCUACAAAGAUGUGUGUUCCAUUUCAUUGUUUCUUUAUCAUUUAGCCAAUGUCACCGCUUGGUCGGCAACAUGUUGAAGUUGUUCUCGAUGCUAAAAACUUGCAACAUGCUGAAUUUCGCACCCUUGAUAAAAUGGGUUGCAAAUUUAGCUGGGCAGCCCCCCUCCUCUGCUUUGGUGCUCACUGAUGCAACAAAGUGAUCAGCUUACAACAACACCACCAGCAAAUUUUGCUUCGCAGAAGAAUGAAAAGGUCUCCUGUACUAAAGAGAUUCCAGGGAGAGAAAAAGGACACUGAUGGUUUACCGACUGCCAGCGAAGCCACAAAAAGGCUAAUAUAAAUUUCUUUUGAGAGAUUCUACUUUUGCACCACUUCUUUCUGUGAUACAGUCUCUGGAGAAUCAUAAGAAUAUUGUUAGGAAAAAAUACAAGCACCUCAGACUAAAGUACAUACACAACCGAGGUCAUUUUUUCUAGCAGAUUCUUGUACUCCUUUUAGUUGUUGUACCGAAGUUGUGUCAAUUAAUUUGGAUCGGAGGGAUACCAAAA